rnacentral:snRNA from 1 species
UUAAAUACGCGACGGGGU